UGGGUGUUUAUCAUCCUCGGUGGCUCUGCUCAGGGUGGGAGGAGGCGGCGCGGGGAGUGGGUAGGUGGACGAGUGGGUGGGUGUGGGGUCGCGCGCGCGGGCCGGUCUCUGCGGGCUAAGUCCCUGUCAGGCCGCGGGCCGAGAGCCCUCCUCUUGCCUCAGCGAGCGCCUGCCUCCAACUGACCCUCCCCGGCCGCCGCCGCCGCGCAACCGCCCCGCCCCCAAGCGCCUCAUCUGCAUAGCCCCACCCAGCGCCGCUUGGUGUCCUGGGAAACUGGGGCCCACAACAAAGGGCAAAGCACCGCCCCGCCUUAGGCGCAGGCGUAGCAAGGGCAAGCUAUCAUCUUGGGAAGAGGGGCGGGAGCCCGGGGGAAAGCCAGGAAGGAGGUCUGGAUGCCAGGGACUCAGGAGUCCAGGAAUAUUCCACGAUGGGCUGGGCAAUAUACCUACCUUGGAUGUCACAAUCUGGCCAGGGAGAGAGGCCAUCACAAUAUGAGCUGCUCUAACCAACCAAGGCCCAGGCUCCCAGCUCCACACCUGUGAUCAGCUCCUUGAUCAGGCCUUUUGGGAUGAAAGCUCCAAGACUGAAAAAUAAAAAGGAAUUACUGUGUAAUUAAA